GAUGAACGCUGACAGAAUGCUUAACACAUGCAAGUCGAUUCAAGUUACCUUCGGGUAAUGAGGAUGGCGGACGGGUGAGUAACGCGUAAGGAACUUGCCUCUUGGUCUGGGACAACUGUUGGAAACGACAGCUAAUACCGGAUAUUAUGAGAUUCUCGCAUGGGAAACUUAUGAAAGCUAUAUGCGCCAAGAGAGAGCCUUGCGUUCCAUUAGCUAGUUGGUGGGGUAACGGCCCACCAAGGCGACGAUGGAUAGCCGGCCUGAGAGGGUGAACGGCCACAAGGGGACUGAGACACGGCCCUUACUCCUACGGGAGGCGGCAGUGGGGAAUAUUGGACAAUGGGCCACAAGCCUGAUCCAGCAAUUCUGUGUGCACGAUGAAGGUCUUCGGAUUGUAAAGUGCUUUCAGUUGGGAAGAAGAAAGUGACGGUACCAACAGAAGAAGCGACGGCUAAAUACGUGCCAGCAGCCGCGGUAAUACGUAUGUCGCAAGCGUUAUCCGGAUUUAUUGGGCGUAAAGCGCGUCUAGGCGGAAAAAUAAGUCUGAUGUUAAAAUGCGGGGCUCAACUCCGUAUUGCGUUGGAAACUGUUUUUCUAGAGUACUGGAGAGGUGGGCGGAACUACAAGUGUAGAGGUGAAAUUCGUAGAUAUUUGUAGGAAUGCCNAUGGAGAAGUCAGCUCACUGGACAGANACUGACGCUGAAGCGCGAAAGCGUGGGGAGCAAACAGGAUUAGAUACCCUGGNAGUCC
rnacentral:rRNA from 1 species